rnacentral:sRNA from 1 species
GCAAUCCAGGAGCUGAAUGGUAAACUCUUCCACAAGCGAAAACUGUUCGUGAAUACAAGCAAAAGGCCCCCCAAGAGGACCCCUGAUAUGAUCCAGCAGCCUCGGGCCCCGCUGGUGUUGGAGAAGGCUUCUGGUGAAGGAUUUGGCAAAACCGCCGCUAUUAUACAGCUCGCUCCUAAAGCUCCUGUUGACCUGUGUGAGACAGAGAAACUGAGGGCAGCCUUCUUUGCAGUCCCGUUGGAAAUGAGAGGGUCCUUCCUGGUGCUGCUCCUGAGGGAAUGCUUCCGAGACCUGAGCUGGCUGGCACUCAUCCAUAGCAUCCGUGGGGAGGCGGGGCUGCUGGUGACAAGUAUCGUCCCGAAGACCCCGUUUUUCUGGGCCAUGCACAUCACUGAGGCUCUGCACCAGAACAUGCAGGCUCUGUUUAGCACCCUGGCUCAGGCAGAGGAGCAGCAGCCCUACCUGGAGGGCUCCACCGUUACGCGCGGGACUCGCUGUCUGGCAGAGUACCACCUGGGGGAUUAUGGACACGCCUGGAACAGGUGUUGGGUGCUGGACAGGGUGGACACCUGGGCUGUGGUCAUGUUCAUUGAUUUUGGACAGUUGGCCACCAUCCCUGUGCAGUCUCUGCGCAGCCUAGACAGCGACGACUUCUGGACCAUCCCACCCCUGACUCAGCCAUUCAUGCUGGAGAAAGACAUUUUGAGUUCGUAUGAGGUUGUCCAUCGAAUCCUCAAAGGGAAAAUCACUGGUGCUUUGAACUCGGCGGUAACUGCUCCUGCAUCUAACUUGGCUGUUGUCCCUCCACUCCUGCCCUUGGGGUGUCUGCAGCAGGCUGCUGCCUAGGCCUGGACACAUCGCACAUCCUAAAGUUUGAAGAGUCUAAAUAACGGGGCUUCCCUCAGCAUGUUCCCUCUCCUGUUUGCCACGGAUCCAGAGGCCACCUGCCCUGUCUUCUCGUACCCCUUUCACUCUUGAGGCCUGGGAGGUGAAAAAGACCAGACUGUGCCCAGGAUUGAUUCAAUUUUGCUUUUACUCCCAGCUUCCCUCUCAAAAGAGAGUGAAGUCUCAUUUGUCAUGUGUCUUCAGUUCCCCAACUUGGCAUGAACAUUUGAACCAAACAUAGGAAACUACCAUUAGGUUGAAAGCCUGAGGCAGCUGGGAUGGUCUUUCUUGUGUCUCUUCUUUGCACCCCAGAGCAUGAUAUAAGUGGUCCUAACAGAUUCUGGAUAAUGGAGAAGCCCUCUGCUGGUUUUCCUGGCAUUCCAUGUAGAAUAGGUAGAGAAUAUUUAACCAAUGAGCAAAUAAAUGUUGGCAUGUUUCAUGA